AUGUCUGCCGCUCCAGAAGCUCCUCCUUCCGAAGGUCCUCCAUCGUUCAUCGCCAUGUCUGCCGCUCCGGAAGCUCCUCCUUCCGAAGGUCCUUCAUCGUCGGUCGCCAUAUCCACCUCCCCCUUCCCCAACUGGAUACUGCUGGAGAGCUUUGUCUUCCGCAGGGACGACAAGAAGUCUUUUCCGGACGACACAAAGGCACCCAUCAGGGCGUCCGGCAUCACCUCCUGGAACGCUCCCUUCCGGAUUGCCUUCUCCCUUGCCAAGCCCCCGCUCGCUUCCCGCCUCUAUGCAAAGUUGCGACGCUUUCCAGAUCCUAGUCAAGAGACGCCUUUAGCCAUAGUGGCGACCCACUUCAAUCUACUGCUGCUUCGCGUAGGUACCAAAAUCCCUGCACGAGGGCUAGUGCAGGACUUCUUUAUCUGCAAUGCCUAUGAACCUUCCACGCUCAAAGCUUUGCCUCCUUGUAGAGAGCCCUACACAGAUUAUAGCCGCAGCAGCGGUGACAACCUACCUCGUGGUCGACCCCUCCAGAAGGAGGAGCGACGCCUGCUUGAGGUUCAAUCAAUGGGGCUCUUGUGCGGAGGCGGGGAGAAGUUUGCGGUGGCAGAGCUCUGCGUUUUCAAGACCAUCCACUUAAAAUCAUAUGCUGACAUUUGUUUGCUAUGCUCUCCCACAUCAGCCGCCCCUGUCCUUGGCGGCAAUUGGAACUCGUUCCGUGUACCAAUCCUUGGCAUUGACAGCAAUGAUCCAUGGCACAUUUGUUGCUGGGACACUGACACUGUCAUUACUUUUAGGCACUGGCUGUGCUGGAUCGAUUAUCAUCGUGGUAUUCUAUUCUUUGACGUGUUCGGAGAGCCUGUCCCUACCGUCACAUUCCUUGCUUUUCCUCUUGAUGAGUAUCCUUCCCCGCACAGUCUCAAAGAGGUCAAGCCAUCCAGCCCUCUCAAAUCCAGCCGGUUGUAUCGUGGUGCGUCUGUCUUAUUUGGUGGCAAUAUGAUCAAAUUUGUCAAUGUCACCCGCCACGACGGCAUUGGUUAUGGAGAACUCAAACCUCGUUCAGGCUUCACCAUCACCUGCCACACCCUCGAGUUAGGCGACACCCCAGUGAUAGGCAAUGCAAGGUGGAAGUUAGACUACAAGAUUACUUCUGAUGAGCUUUGGUCCGCCAAUCCUCCUGAGCAUCUUCCACACAACAUUCUCAUGUUCCCUCAAAUAGACUUAGACAUGCCACAUCUAGUGCACUUUAUCAUCAGCGAGUUUGAAUUCGUUAUUAAGAAGAUGUGGUUGGUGUCCAUUGAUAUGAAAACUAAGGAGGUGAAAUCAUUUGCUCCGUACAUCAGUGGGAAGGAAGGACUUGAAACAGACGACGCAGACUUGAUCAGAGAAAGGUCUGACGCUCCCAUGCCCUUCCUACCCUGUGAUUUCUCCAGGUUUCUCCGUCUCUCAAGGUUGAGCAAGGAUAUGGAAUGA
rnacentral:rRNA from 1 species